UACGAAGGGGGCUAGCGUUGCUCGGAAUUACUGGGCGUAAAGCGUGCGUAGACGGUUGCGUAAGUCAGAUGUGAAAGCCCCGGGCUCAACCUGGGAAUUGCAUUUGAGACUGCGUAGCUAGGGUGCGGAAGAGGGAAGCGGAAUUUCCGGUGUAGCGGUGAAAUGCGUAGAUAUUGGGAGGAACACCAGUGGCGAAGGCGGCUCACUGGACCGGUACUGACGCUGAGGCGCGAAAGCGUGGGUAGCAAACAGG
rnacentral:rRNA from 1 species